CGAACGGAAAGGCCCUGCUUUUGUGGGGUGCUCGAGUGGCGAACGGGUGAUUAACACGUGAGUAACCUGCCCUUGACUUUGGGAUAACUUCAGGAAACUGGGGCUAAUACCGGAUAGGAGCUCCUGCUGCAUGGUGGGGGUUGGAAAGUUUCGGCGGUUGGGGAUGGACUCGCGGCUUAUCAGCUUGUUGGUGGGGUAGUGGCUUACCAAGGCUUUGACGGGUAGCCGGCCUGAGAGGGUGACCGGCCACAUUGGGACUGAGAUACGGCCCAGACUCCUACGGGAGGCAGCAGUGGGGAAUAUUGCACAAUGGGCGGAAGCCUGAUGCAGCAACGCCGCGUGCGGGAUGACGGCCUUCGGGUUGUAAACCGCUUUCGCCUGUGACGAAGCGUGAGUGACGGUAAUGGGUAAAGAAGCACCGGCUGACUACGUGCCAACAGCCGCGGUGAUACGUAGGGUGCGAGCGUUGUCCGGAUUUAUUGGGCGUAAAGGGCUCGUAGGUGGUUGAUCGCGUCGGAAGUGUAAUCUUGGGGCUUAACCCUGAGCGUGCUUUCGAUACGGGUUGACUUGAGGAAGGUAGGGGAGAAUGGAAUUCCUGGUGGAGCGGUGGAAUGCGCAGAUAUCAGGAGGAACACCAGUGGCGAAGGCGGUUCUCUGGGCCUUUCCUGACGCUGAAGAGCGAAAGCGUGGGGAGCGAACAGGCUUAGAUACCCUGGUAGUCCACGCUGUAAACGGUGGGUACUAGGUGUGGGGUCCAUUCCACGGGUUCCGUGCCGUAGCUAACGCUUUAAGUACCCCGCCUGGGGAGUACGGCCGCAAGGCUAAAACUCAAAGGAAUUGACGGGGCCCCGCACAAGCGGCGGAGCAUGCGGAUUAAUUCGAUGCAACGCGUAGAACCUUACCUGGGUUUGACAUGGAUCGGGAGUGCUCAGAGAUGGGUGUGCCUCUUUUGGGGUCGGUUCACAGGUGGUGCAUGCCUGUCGUCAGCUCGUGUCGUGAGAUGUUGGGUUAUGUCCCGCAACGAGCGCAACCCUUGUUCACUGUUGCCAGCACGUUAUGGUGGGGACUCAGUGGAGACCGCCGGGGUCAACUCGGAGGAAGGUGGGGAUGACGUCAAGUCCUCAUGCCCCUUAUGUCCAGGGCUUCACGCAUGCUACAAUGGCUGGUACAGAGAGUGGCGAGCCUGUGAGGGUGAGCGAAUCUCGGAAAGCCGGUCUCAGUUCGGAUUGGGGUCUGCAACUCGACCUCAUGAAGUCGGAGUCGCUAGUAAUCGAAGAUCAGCAACGCUGCGGUGAAUACGUUCCCGGGGC
rnacentral:rRNA from 1 species